UGCUGCCUCUCUGCUCCAGCCGUUAAGAGCCCAGUGCUGCUCAGUGUGUGUGCGGGCCCUUCAGAGCCACUCCCACACCAACAACACAAUGAGCCUGAUGUCCCUGCAGCUGUUCCUGCUGGCCCUGGGGCUCCUGGUUCGGGGUUCUUCAGGAGAAAUCAGCCUGACUCAGACUCCUAAAGCUGCAGCUGUGGACAAAGGAGCCUCUGUUACUCUCAGGUGUCAGACCAGUUCAAAUGUAGGGAAUAAUCUCGCCUGGUAUCUCCAGAAAGGCACAGAAUCUCCAAAGCUCCUGAUAUAUGCUGCUACUUCUCGUCACUCUGGAGUCUCCAGUCGUUUCAGUGGAAGUGGUUCUGGAUCUGAUUAUUCUUUGACCAUCAGUGGAUUUGAGGCUGAAGAUGCAGGAGUUUAUUACUGUCAGCAGUGUUACAGCUCACCGAUUCACACAGUGAAAAAGACUCGUACAAAAACCUCCUCAGACUGAACUGAAACUGUUCACACUUCACUAAACUCACACUGCACAGUGACACGCAAUAUAAUGAGAGUUAAGAACAGGCUGAACAGGGAAUUCAUUAUGUUAUUUUAUAAUUAAAUUAUUUGCAUUUAUUUAAUUAUUUUUACACACACACACACACACACACACACACACACAUGCACACACACGCACACACACAUACACACACACACACACACACACAAUAAUUUACAGUCAACAUAGGUGUGACCAUUAUUAAAUUACACCAUUAUGUUACAAACAUUUGAGUGAAUAAACUGCAUGUUCAAAAGUCAUGUUAGUGAUUGUGGAGAAUGAAAAACUUCAGAGUCUCGAACUGUGAAAAAUGUGAAGAUAAAGAACAAGCAAACAUAGGACUCCAGUUAGAAUUCCUAUGUGGAAAAAAAAACAAAACAAACAAACGAAAAAACAACAUAUUAUUUAUUUAUUUAUUUUUAUAUAUAGUUUAUUUAUUUUCCUUUUUUUUUCUUAUAUUUUAAUCAUCAGUUCAAGGUAAUACUAUUGACUGUGUCUUUCUAAUUCUGGAGUAAAGCCAAAUAUUUUUAAUACACGUCAUGAUUCAAUAUAACAAAUAUUAGACCUUUUACAAUGACUUAAAAAGGGGCUAAAACACUUCCUUGGGGUCCACAACAGAAAAAACUGAUAAAAUAAGAAAAUAUACUGUUAACACACUCAAUUAUUCAAUAUAACAAAUGUAUAAAAUAUUCGACAUUUAACAAUGAAUUAGAAAGAGACAAAAACACUUCCCUGAGGUCCUCCACAGGAAAGAUUUGAAAUGAUCUUUAAAGGGACACAGUGUUGGUCUGCAGCUGUGUUCACUUCAUCCUCAUUGACAUCGAGGCUUUUGAUCAUUGUUUUAAUAAUUUAUUCAUUGAUAAUUUUCCACAAGAAAAAGGAUAAAAUGAGGAAAUAUAAUGUUCACACAAUACAACGACUAAAUGAACAAAAGGUCAUAUCAGUGUGUCUAUGCACUUGUCUGGAAAACAUUUGACUUACAUUUAGGUCAGGAGUCAAAAACUAAAGUAUCUUCCUGUAAAAAGUAUUUAACUUUCAUAAUAUUGUCAGACAUUGGAAAAGUAAUAUUAAUGAUUCAUCUGGUUUCAUUUGUUUUCACUGGAUCAAACAUUGUUUUGAAUCUGAAAGCAGCAGAAACACAUCCCUGUUAUUCACAACAUUCACAUUUAUCAAAUACAUUUUAUUCAUAUUUAUUUCUUCCUAUAAAUUACAAUUCUUUCAAAAUAUAAUCUUUACUAAACAUUCACUUUAUUCUUCAGGUUUAGUUUGUUCAUUUAUUUUGUUAUUUAUAUUAAAAUUGUGAGAACAGAA